rnacentral:tRNA from 2 species
UCCCCGGUAGCUCAGCGGUAGAGCAGUUGACUGUUAAUCAAUUGGUCGCUGGUUCGAAUCCGGCCCGGGGAGCCA